rnacentral:rRNA from 1 species
GAUGAACGCUGGCGGCGUGCUUAACACAUGCAAGUCGAGCGAAGCAGUUAAGUUGAUUUCUUCGGAUUGAUUCUUAACUGACUGAGCGGCGGACGGGUGAGUAACGCGUGGGUGACCUGCCCCAUACCGGGGGAUAACAGCUGGAAACGGCUGCUAAUACCGCAUAAGCGCACAGAGCUGCAUGGCUCGGUGUGAAAAACUCCGGUGGUAUGGGAUGGGCCCGCGUCUGAUUAGGCAGUUGGCGGGGUAACGGCCCACCAAACCGACGAUCAGUAGCCGGCCUGAGAGGGCGACCGGCCACAUUGGGACUGAGACACGGCCCAAACUCCUACGGGAGGCAGCAGUGGGGAAUAUUGCACAAUGGGGGAAACCCUGAUGCAGCGACGCCGCGUGAGCGAAGAAGUAUUUCGGUAUGUAAAGCUCUAUCAGCAGGGAAG